CAACAAGUUGUUAUAAUAUAUAUAUGCCAUGUUUUAAUUGUUCAUGCAUAAUUGUAGUAUCAUUCACAAAAAUUAUCUUUUAUUAAAAGUUUGAAAUUAAGUUUGGCCAAAAGACCUACAGAGAUGACAUUUAUCAAAAAGAAAGGAUAAUAAUAACACUCAUCUAACAUGAUACUUUUAGACUCAAAAACAAGUUGCAUAGUUCCUCAUGCUAGAACUGGAACA
rnacentral:lncRNA from 1 species